rnacentral:lncRNA from 1 species
CAUUAAGCUGAGGUCUUAGUGUUUAUCCUUCACCCAUCAUUUAUUUGUUCAUUCAACAGUGUCCACUCUGUGCCAGGCAGCUGGAUGCACAGGUCUAAGCACAGAGACUCUGUCAAAGCCAUGAG